GAAAAGGAGUGGGCACCUGACCAGAAGAGCUAAUGGGAAGGUAGAACUUUUUGAAAUUGGGAAAGAAACUUUCCCUUUUUCUGUUGUUCUCUGGGCUGCAGGGACACAGAGAAGUAAUGCUGUAAACAGCUUUAAAGCAGUGUUAUACCGUUGACUCAUAUUUAGCUUGUGGUCUACUGUGAACCCACCACCAACACUUGGUCUGUGUUGGUCAUGCCACAUCCACUGUAGAGGUCAGGUGGAGAAUGAAGCUUUUCUUCCAGUGGUAGGAGGGUUCUUUUAGAGUCUUCCCAUUGAUUUCAAUGGCAGCAGGAUCAGCCCAUAGAAAGAGGAGUCCCCUUCCAAGGAAUGUAGUAGCCACCCUGCAGUCUCAGCAGAUGUACGUGGGAUGCAAGGGCUAACUGCAAACAGGAUGGAAGCACCAUGUAUCAGUAAAUAGAGCCAUGUGCAAAUACAAAAAUUUGGAUCCGCAUCCGUGACAAUUAACUUGUAUCCAACCUAUAAUCUGCACUCCACCUUUAUAUGUAUCCACACCAGCACGCUAUCUCACUGUUAGAGCCGUGUGCGGAUACAGAAAUUUGGAUCUGCAUCCAAUCUGCAAAGAUGGGAAACAGUGCAACCGCAUCUGCGGGCAUAAAGUGGAUAUCCGCAGAUUUGCAGGGCUCUAUCAAUAACGUCCUUUUAUUAAGGCAUUGUCUAUGUUCCUCAACCAGCUAUAGUGGAUGACUAGAUUUCCCAAAUGGAACACACACAUUGAAUUCAUUUUUUUCUAGCUGUAGCAGAUAAUAUCACCCUGCUCUUAAAAGCAGGAAGCUGAGCUGAUUAGGAGACUUGGCAAGCAUAAGUAAUUGAAACGGAAGACUGGCUUGCAUGGUUUUGACUCUUUACAAAAUCCGCCUCGAUGAGCUGUUAAACAUGCUUUAAUUAAAUAAACUGUUUGAAAGAUAGUGAUUUUAAAGAUAAAAGCAACCUUUUCCCACUAUAAAGAAGUUUUGACAACCAGUCUGCUGAUUGCCAUUAGUAGUAGAUAUAGUAGCAAAGUGAGUUUAAAUAAAAACAAAGCCUCCAUAUUUGUUAGGCUUUUGAAUGAUCACUUGUUUUUUGGUAGCAGCUUUUCAUUAAGGGCCAGAAUAGCAGGUGCAGGCAGCAAAGUCAAUACCUUUUAAGCAGCCCUCAAAACAUCUCUCUCUUUCAUAGAGUUUGAUACUGCUGGCCAUCUCCAUAGCAUCUGAGUACCUUUCAUGUAAAAUCAAUAACAAUAGUAAAGUCCAUAGUGGACUUCAUGGAGUCUCUGGUUCACCACCUUUUUCAGAGUUAAAAAUUCUGUUUGGAGUAUAUGUUUGUGGUGUUAGAUUUGCUUGCUACAGGUUUGGGGAUUUUUUUUUUAUUUUAUUUUUUUUACUCUAGCCAUAGCAGCAGCUGGUGUGUGUUGGUUUUCUUCUUAUUAUGUACAUUUUAAAGUUGUGCAUAUGAUCAUAAAAUAAAAUAUGUGCAUACCUAUGUAAUUAUUCACCAUUAAUAUUGAAGUAGCACCUAUAACAUGCUAGACACUAUACAUGUCAGAGGUGAAUUCUCCUGAAAGCUUUUGCAUCCUACAAGAUCUCAUAAUUUAAAUAUAAGCAAGCAGCAGAUGUAGUUUCAUUUGUACAGGGAAAGCAAAACCACUAUGCAGCCUGACAGCCAGUCUAUCGUAAACCAUAGCAGCUAGAAGCCAACAAAAGUCAUUAGCCCUGUACAACAGAUCCAUGAAGAUACAAUUAAAACAAUAGACUUCUCAUAUAUCUGUUUCCACAGAAGGAAAAGGUGGA